AUGGCCUCCACCAACAGCUGGACCCAUGAGAUUUAGUCGUCGGUCGCUACAUCGCGCCUCUUCCGUGCCGGCGUCAUGGACUGGCACACCCUGGCCACCGAGCUCGCGCCAUAGAUCGUCGCCAGCGCCCACGCUGUCGAAGGAGAAGGCGGCAUUGGCAGUGUCAGGCAGUUCAACUGCACCUCAGCCAUGCCCUUCAACCAGAUGAAGGAGGGGCUCGAGUUCAUUGACGCAGACAAGUGCAAGUGCAAGUCAACUCUCAUCGGUGGUGGCAUUGGCACGGCGAUCGAGACAACCACUUCACACAUCAAGGUGGAGCCGGUAGCGAAUGGUGGUAUGGUGAAGGUGGAAUCGACAUACAAGCUGUUGCCAGGCGUGGAGGUGAAGGAUGAGAUCACCAAGGCCAAGGACUCUGUCACAACCAUAUUUAAGGUUGCUCAGGCCUACCUUAUUGCCAACCCGGGCGCCUACAACUAA
rnacentral:rRNA from 1 species